AUGGAUGACCAGGACAAAGUGAGAGUCUUUGUCAGGUUCAUCCCCAAGUGGGAUGUCUUUGUCACAUCCCUGCCCUCAAUGCUCAGGGAUCAAUGCAGAAAACUAUGGGUCAAUUCAGAGGUUCAGCUGCAGCAGUCUGGGGCAGAGCUUGUGAAGCCAGGGGCCUCAGUCAAGUUGUCCUGCACAGCUUCUGGCUUCAACAUUAUAAACACCUAUAUGCACUGGGUGAAGCAGAGGCCUGAACAGGGCCUGGAGUGGAUUGGAAGGAUUGAUCCUGCGAAUGGUGAUACUAAAUAUACCCCGAAGUUCCAGGGCAAGGCCACUAUAACUGCAGACACAUCCUCCAACACAGCCUACAUGCAACUGAGCAGCCUGACAUCUGAGGACACUGCCAUCUAUUACUGUGCUAGACACAGUGUUGCAACCACAUCCUGA